UACGUAGGGUGCAAGCGUUUGUCCGGAAUUAUUGGGCGUAAAGAGCUCGUAGGCGGUUUGUCGCGUCUGCUGUGAAAACCCGAGGCUCAACCUCGGGCCUGCAGUGGGUACGGGCAGACUAGAGUGCGGUAGGGGAGAUUGGAAUUCCUGGUGUAGCGGUGGAAUGCGCAGAUAGUCAGGAGGAACACCAAUGGCGAAGGCAGAUCUCUGGGCCGUAACUGACGCUGAGGAGCGAAAGCAUGGGGAGCGAACAGG
rnacentral:rRNA from 1 species